rnacentral:lncRNA from 1 species
CCGGUUGCGUGCCGGAAGCGCUGCGCGGCCGUGUGAUGUUUGUGGGGGGGUUCAUCUUCGGAGCAGUGCUCUGCAACAUCUUUAUCAGUGACACAGACAGUGGGGUCAAAUGCAGCCUCAGCACGAUCGCUGACGACACUGAGUGGUGCAGGUGGUACAACAAAAGGAAGGGAUGCCAUCCAGAUGGACCUGGACAGGCUUGAACUGUGGUCCCACGCAAACCUAACCAUAUUCAACGAGGCCCAGUGCAUUGUGUUGAACUUGUCGGGGCAAUCCCAGAUAUGUGUACAGAUGGGGUGAAGAACUGGAGAGCAGCCCUGCAGAGAAGGACCUGCGUGUCCUGGUGGGUGUAAAGCCAGACAUGAGCCAGCAGUGUGCACUUGCAGCCCAGAAGGCCAACAGUGUCCUGGGCUGCAUCAACAGAGGGGUGGCAUUGGGCAGGGAGGGGAUUGUCUCCCUCUGCUCUGCCCUUGUGAGGCCCCAUCAGGAGCAAUGCACCCAGGCCUGGGACCCCUGGCACAAGAAUGAUGUGGGGCUGUUGGAGUGGGUCCAGAGGAAGCCACAAACAUGCUCAUAGGGCUGGAGCACCUCUCCUCUGAGGAAGGGCUGAGGGAGCUGGGCUUGUUCUGCCUGGAGAAGAGGGGGCUCCAGGGAGACCGCACUGUGGCCUUCCAGAAUUUGAGGGGAGUUUGUAAGUAGGAGGGGGACUGUUUGCAUGGUCUGAUAGAGAUAGGACAAGGGGAAAUGGCUUUAAACUAAAAGAGGGGAAAUACAGGUCAGAGGUAAGGAGGAAAUUCUUUAUUCAGAGGGCAAUGAGGCCCUGGCACUGCUGCCCAGAGCUGUGGGUGCCCAUCCCUGGAAGCACCCAAGGCUGGGCUGGGUGGGCCCUGGGCAGCCUGAGCUGAUGGGGGCGACCUGCUCAUGGCAGGAAACUGGGAAUGAAUGAUCUUUAACGUCCCUUCCAGCCCAAGCCGUUCUGUGAUUCUACGAUCCCUCAGGUGACCUAGGCAGGCACGGCUUUCAGGGUCUACUACAGCCCCGAAUUUUGCGAGCCACUCCGCAGCAUCACACAAGAAAUCCCGGACGAUCGCCCAGCACCGCCGCCCCAGUCCCCCGCUAUAACACCGCCCGCGGCGCCCACCGGCAGGGAGAGCAGCAGGGCCCGGUCCGCGCCUCCGGCCACUCAGGGCGGCGGCCACGGGACAGACGACCGGGGCCGGUUCCCCCUCCCAGCCGCGUCGCUGCCCGCUGUGCGCCGCGCUCCGCCCCGGGGGUGGUGGCGGCAAGGGCGCCCGGAAGCGUGCGGAGCCGGCGGCCGGAGCGCUAGAUCCCUUGCCCAGCUGAUGGCGUGAUCUCAAAAACAGUUGUGAUGGCACAGGGCCUGGAGCAAGCGGCUGGCUGGGAGACGGGCUGGUAAGAGCUGCUGAGGAUAGCAGUCCUCUGAGCACAUCUCAGGGCUAUCUUCGACUGAAAUCAUUCUUACAAUUUGCACAUCACUCAUACAGACCAAGAGCGUUUCAAAUUAAAUAUUGCCAGGCUGUUGAUGUUUCCCUAAAGUCUGAUUUUGUUUGGAGGAUGGACUUACGUGACACAUUUUAGGGUGUUCAAAGGUAGUUAAGUUAAUGUGAAAAGAACAAUAUAGAUACCUAAUCAGAUUCAGAGUUGCUGAUGUAUCCUUGUGGUUUUCUUUGAGGGUGUGAAAGAAUUAUUGUAACACAUGAGCAAUGACUGGGGUUUCCAUUGCAGUAUUGUGGGGGACGCAUUUCAGUGAUGAUAGCAGGUAGGCGUAAAGGACUGACAUUCUUCUGUGUGUAUGGCACUGACCAAGUCAAUAUUGUGUGCAGUUUGGGGAUUCAUACGUUUUAAGUUGGAGACUGGUAGAACAGUACAGUGUGUUGCUCAGAGGCUGGAAAAACUGCCCCAUGGUGAGAGGCUGUGAGAUUUUAGAGAGCUCUAAGUAUUUUUUAUAUAGGAUUAUUUACAGACACCUGAAAUAUACCAUGUAAGAGGAAAAGAAAACAAAAAAUGAAGAAGACCUUGAUGCUGAAAGGUUGUAGGCCUUGGAGAGGAAGGCUUAUGAAAAAUCAGUAUCUGCAAAUGGCUUCCAUCUCUGCGGUGGAUGAGUAAGAAAAGGAACAAAUGGCCCGUGGAAAGUGGCAGGUUUUUGUAGCCUGGUGUUUUCAAAGCAAGACUCUUCCUGGAAGAGUGCUUUUAGUCCAAAAUGAUGGCCAGGUUUUGUGCUUGUUGCUGUGUACAACUGAAGUGGAAUGCAGUGAACUGGUGGUCUAUUACAAUCCCAAUUAGUUGGAAUUUGUACUACAACAUUGUAUUAUUUUAAGAUCCUGAGGGAUAGGAGUGUAUUGGGUUUCGCAGGAAUUCGUCAGCAGAGUUGGCCACAGGUCCUCAGAGUCCCAGGUCAUUAUCUUUUUUGCUUUUAAUACAUCUAAGUAAUCUUCGGUUUUUUUUCCAAGUAUAUAUUGGGUUUAUCAGAACAUACAAUCACAGAAGAAAGGCAUGCAGGUGGCAAGGGGCAUUUGAGUCUGCAGUUAUCGUAAUAAACAACAGUGAAAGGGCAAAGGUGUUCCUGAUGUUAUGAGCAUAGCGAGUGGUUAAAAGGAAAUACUGAUUUGGUAAUGACAUUGAAUGGCAGAUUCCUUGUGAACCUGGAAGAAUUAAAGCCUGAAGAUAACAGCAUGUCAGUGUGUUAGGGCUGAUUCCAAAAGGUCACACUGCGGAGCAGCAAAACAAUGUGUUUCAUACACAGUUACACAAUGAGAAAUACAUUUCUGGCACUUAACACAUUUUUGAUUUGCUAACUUUUGUUCUUUUGCUUUAAGGCUAGGACUGAGAGAUCUUUGCAAACCAAUUGAAAACUCUUUAUAAACUUUGGGGGCACUUAAGCACGUGAAGGGAAAAACUUAAAAUUGGUCUAUUUGCAGUGGAUAUAUGAACUUAACACAUCCGAACUUAAGUCCUUUAAUAUUGGAAUCUUACUUAAUUCUCUGACAAAUAGUUGUGGGCAGGCUAAAAGUUGUAAGUAUUGUUGUUGUGGUUGGCACUGAAACUGGGAGAUGAGCUCAGAAGCUGGAGAGAUGCUCUGAAAGAUGCUUGGUGUCUCAGUGUUAAGCACAAAGCAACAGCUGCCCUAGCCUGGGUGUUUGGAUCAAGGCUAGUAAAGGGUAUCACCCUUUCUCUUCUCAGUACCUUUUUGCUUAAGUGCUUUGAGGUGGAAAUCUACUUAAAUGCUAUGCUUAGGGGUGGCAUUAUAGGAGAGUUUGCAAUCUGCAGGCUUCAUUUCAGCAGCCCAGUAACUUAUGUCCAUAAUGGCUUAUCAGAGUUUGGCCUGUUUCACUGUCUUUUCCAGCAGAAAAUUUAAACUUUAACCCUAAACUUUGUCUCUAUGCUGGAAAUAAUGCCUCGUGUCACUUACUUUGCUAGAAUAGAUAUACCUUGAUGUGGUUUGCUUGAAUGUUUUCUUUUUAUGUGCUCACAUUUGGGCAUUUGAAGCUGAUAAAAUACAGUGCGCAUCAGUAUGAUUCAUACUUUCUUACUGGGUAAACAAGCAUUUGAUCCAAAAGAUGUUGCUCAGAGUGUAAGUGAAGUAAUUUUGUCAGAACUGCAUGAACUGUACAUCUCAGAGCUUCUCACUGAACAUACUGAACUUUUGAGUCUCCAAAACGGCUUACAAGAACAGGUUUGGCCAAAGGUAUAUUGUCAGCUUGUGAACCCCUGGUGUGACAGCAGGGAAUAUUUAGGAUU